rnacentral:rRNA from 1 species
AGGAUGAACGCUGGCGGCGUGCCUAAUACAUGCAAGUCGAGCGAACGGACGAGAAGCUUGCUUCUCUGAUGUUAGCGGCGGACGGGUGAGUAACACGUGGAUAACCUACCUAUAAGACUGGGAUAACUUCGGGAAACCGGAGCUAAUACCGGAUAAUAUUUUGAACCGCAUGGUUCAAAAGUGAAAGACGGUCUUGCUGUCACUUAUAGAUGGAUCCGCGCUGCAUUAGCUAGUUGGUAAGGUAACGGCUUACCAAGGCAACGAUGCAUAGCCGACCUGAGAGGGUGAUCGGCCACACUGGAACUGAGACACGGUCCAGACUCCUACGGGAGGCAGCAGUAGGGAAUCUUCCGCAAUGGGCGAAAGCCUGACGGAGCAACGCCGCGUGAGUGAUGAAGGUCUUCGGAUCGUAAAACUCUGUUAUUAGGGAAAGAAACAUAUG